rnacentral:rRNA from 1 species
GACGAAGGUGGCGAGCGUUGUUCGGAAUCACUGGGCAUAAAGCGCACGUAGGCGGUGACGUAAGUCGGGUGUGAAAUCCCUCGGCCUAACCGAGGAACUGCGCCCGAUACUGCGUUGCUUGAGGACCAGAGGGGUGCAUGGAAUUUCCGGUGGAGCGGUGAAAUGCGUUGAUAUCGGAAGGAACUCCGGCGGCGAAAGCGAUGCACUGGCUGGUUUCUGACGCUGAGGUGCGAAAGCCAGGGGAGCAAACAGG